UACGGAGGGGGCUAGCGUUGUUCGGAAUUACUGGGCGUAAAGCGCACGUAGGCGGAUCAGCCAGUCAGGGGUGAAAUCCCGGGGCUCAACCCCGGAACUGCCUUUGAUACUGCUGGUCUGGAGUUCGGGAGAGGCGAGUGGAAUUCCGAGUGUAGAGGUGAAAUUCGUAGAUAUUCGGAGGAACACCAGUGGCGAAGGCGGCUCGCUGGCCCGAGACUGACGCUGAGGUGCGAAAGCGUGGGAGCAAACAGGG
rnacentral:rRNA from 1 species